UAGGGAAUCUUCCGCAAUGGACGCAAGUCUGACGGAGCAACGCCGCGUGAGUGAAGAAGGUUUUCGGAUCGUAAAACUCUGUUGUAAGAGAAGAACAAAUUGUAGAGUAACUGCUACAGUCUUGACGGUAUCUUACCAGAAAGCCACGGCUAACUACGUGCCAGCAGCCGCGGUAAUACGUAGGUGGCGAGCGUUAUCCGGAUUUACUGGGCGUAAAGGGCGUGUAGGCGGCUAGAUAAGUGUGAUGUUUAAAUCCAAGGCUUAACCUUGGGGUUCAUUACAAACUGUUUAGCUUGAGUGCUGGAGAGGAUAGUGGAAUUCCUAGUGUAGCGGUAAAAUGCGUAGAUAUUAGGAGGAACACCGGUGGCGAAGGCGGCUAUCUGGACAGUAACUGACGCUGAGGCGCGAAAGCGUGGGGAGCAAACAGG
rnacentral:rRNA from 1 species